rnacentral:sRNA from 1 species
CUUGGUCAUUUAGAGGAAGUAAAAGUCGUAACAAGGUUUCCGUAGGUGAACCUGCGGAAGGAUCAUUAGUGAUUGCCAUCUUGGCUUAAACUAUAUCCAUCUACACCUGUGAACCGUUUGAUUGAAUCUUCUGAUUCAAUUUUACAAACAUUGUGUAAUGAACGUCAUUAGAUCAUAACAAAAAAAAACUUUUAACAACGGAUCUCUUGGCUCUCGCAUCGAUGAAGAACGCAGCGAAAUGCGAUAAGUAAUGUGAAUUGCAGAAUUCAGUGAAUCAUCGAAUCUUUGAACGCAACUUGCGCUCUCUGGUAUUCCGGAGAGCAUGCCUGUUUGAGUGUCAUGAAAUCUCAACCAUUAGGGUUUCUUAAUGGCUUGGAUUUGGAGGUUGCCAUUCUAAAUGGCUCCUCUUAAAGGAGUUAGCAAGUUUUACUAUUGCUAUCUGGCGUAAUAAGUUUCGCUGGAAUGGUAUUGUGAAGCGUGCUUCUAAUCGUCUUCGGACAAUUACUUUGACUCUGGCCUCAAAUCAGGUAGGACUACCCGCUGAACUUAAGCAUAUCAAUAAGCGGAGGAAAAGAAACUAACAAGGAUUCCCUUAGUAACGGCGAGUGAACCGGGAAGAGCUCAAAUUUGUAAUCUGGCUGUCUUCGAUAGUCCGAGUUGUAAUCUAUAGAAGCGUUUUCCGUGCUGAACUGUGUAUAAGUCCCUUGGAACAGGGUAUCAAAGAGGGUGACAAUCCCGUACUUUACACAAUCAUCAGUGCUCUGUGAUACGUUCUCUACGAGUCGAGUUGUUUGGGAAU